UAUCUGCCAAAAUAUUUGCCCCAACAGGCCUUAAAUGCAUAGCAAGGUUGAGUUUUUAUUGCCAAAGUAAAGGAAAGACCUAAGACAACUUAAUGAGACAGCUUAUAAAUUUUUCAGGAAAAAAAAAUCAGCCUUUGAAAUUAUUGAGUCAUUUCAGUUUUUAUUCCAGAGUCAUACAAAGCACUAUCAUCUGUAUUAUUUAGAAGUGGCUUUCAAAACAUUUUUGCCGUGACUCAUGGUAUUAAAAAAAACACCCUUUACAUCACAAUCCAGGUCAUAUUCAUUCAUUCCUUCAUUAAGUACUGACCACCUGCUAUAUGCCAAAUACUAUUCUCAGCAGAAUACAGUAGUAAACAGGCAGGAAGAACAAACGCCCUUGCCCUCCAAGACCUUACAUGCCGGUGGAGCACAUGAUAAAGUAAACUCACAAACACACAGAAAAGGAAGAUUCGUGAACCAAAACCCCUAUUUCUACAUGCCAUGUACUCUGAUAUUUUCUAUUAAAAAAAAAAGUGGGCCGUACCCCAUUCAGCCAUUUAGUUGGCCUCUCAAUUUGGUAAUGUAUUGGGACCUGCACUCUGAGAAGUACUGGUCUAGGUAAGUUAUGAAUUAGGCAGUGUGUGUAUUGUUCCCCUUUUACAGAGGAGACAGAGCGACAGGUAAGCCUUAAGGUUAAGUGGGUCGGCCACACCUGCAACCCGAGAGAAGCACCACUGGAGCCCAUUGCCACCCUCCCCAUUAUCCUCUGCAGUCCUCACUGCUGUCGCAGUCCCUACUUUGAUGGUGAAAUCCUGAGCUCUGCCUGGGGCAGACCUUCUCUCCCUGCCAGGGAAGACCGCAUUAGUAACUUCUAGGCCUGACUAGACUGUGUGUGCUCAGGACUGAAAGAUUCAGAUGCUUAGGCGAUAUCUAUUUAAAGGGCUGAGACCAGAAAGAUACCACUGGGAAAAAGAUCUCACCCAGGUUAUAAAAGUUACAUGUUUGGUAGAAGCAUCAGUAGUAUAAAAACUGUUCAAUCCAAAAAUGUUACAUCCCUAGCAUCAGUAGAUUUAGAAUGAUGCCAGUAGCUCAGGGAUUGCACGGAAGAGUAACUUACAUUGAUUCAAGAAAAGGAGGGCCAAGGCAAGCUGCGUGAACUGGACAGGCAGAGGCAAAGGCCUGGGUGCUCGCCAGCAGUGGGAGAAACGGCACCUUUGCUGUACCGGUGACCAUUACAAUGGGGACAGCUGCCAACUCACGCAAAUGAGGAAAACCAGUCCCAAUUCUCAACAGAGAGAAUCUAAAUGGCACAGCCGUAUCUAGAACUGUCCACUCCUGCUACAGUUUAGGUGAGAUGGGGCUGAGUGUACGGAACAAACACCUAAGGAAAUGAAGGAGAAUCUGUUCAAAAAGGGACAUGAACUUUUUCUAAUUCUUCACUCAAACUGUAACUUCCAGUGUAAAAUCUCAUCCUACCACCAGACAGGAUGGGGACUUAAGGCCAAGAUGAGGUCAAUUAUAAAAAAUACUGUAUC
ensembl:lncRNA